rnacentral:lncRNA from 1 species
GGGUCAAUAUAAUAAAAAAAAUGAAGGAGCUACGGAGGAAGAAAGAAAAAUAAAUAAAUAUUAUUUUUAAAAAAUAAAAAAAUAAUAAUAUGUAAUAUCUUGAAUAUUUUUUAUAAUAAAAUAUUAUAAAUAAGUAUCGUAGUAAAAUUUUAAAUAUUAUUAAAUAUUAAAAUUAUAAUGACUAAUCAAAAAUUAUUCUAAUUAUAUAUAUUUGAUAUGAGUG